rnacentral:rRNA from 1 species
UAUAGCUUGGCACUGAACAUUGACCCUACAUGUGUAGGAUAGGUGGGAGACGUUGAAGCAACCGCGCCAGUGGUUGUGGAGUCAAUCUUGAAAUACCACCCUUGUAUGCUUGAUGUUCUAACGUUGGCCCCUUAUCGGGGUUACGGACAGUGGCCUGGUGGGUAGUUUGACUGGGGCGGUCUCCUCCCAAAGAGUAACGGAGGAGCACGAAGGUGGGCUAAUCACGGUCGGACAUCGUGAGGUUAGUGCAAUGGCAUAAGCCCGCUUGACUGCGAGAAUGACAAUUCGAGCAGGUGCGAAAGCAGGUCAUAGUGAUCCGGUGGUUCUGAAUGGAAGGGCCAUCGCUCAACGGAUAAAAGGUACUCCGGGGAUAACAGGCUGAUACCGCCCAAGAGUUCAUAUCGACGGCGGUGUUUGGCACCUCGAUGUCGGCUCAUCACAUCCUGGGGCUGAAGUCGGUCCCAAGGGUAUGGCUGUUCGCCAUUUAAAGUGGUACGCGAGCUGGGUUUAGAACGUCGUGAGACAGUUCGGUCCCUAUCUGCCGUGGGCGUUGGAUGAUUGAGAGGGGCUGCUCCUAGUACGAGAGGACCGGAGUGG